rnacentral:rRNA from 1 species
ACGAACGCUGGCGGCGUGCUUAACACAUGCAAGUCGAACGGAAAGGCCCUGCUUUUGUGGGGUGCUCGAGUGGCGAACGGGUGAGUAACACGUGAGUAACCUUCCCUUGACUUUGGGGUAACUUCAGGAAACUGGGGCUAAUACCGGAUAGGAGCUCCUGCUGCCUGGUGGGGGGUGGAAAGUUUCGGCGGUUGGGGAUGGACUCGCGGCUUAUCAGCUUGUUGGUGGGGUAGUGGCUUACCAAGGCUUUGACGGGUAGCCGGCCUGAGAGGGUGACCGGCCACAUUGGGACUGAGAUACGGCCCAGACUCCUACGGGAGGCAGCAGUGGGGAAUAUUGCACAAUGGGCGGAAGCCUGAUGCAGCAACGCCGCGUGCGGGAUGACGGCCUUCGGGUUGUAAACCGCUUUCGCCUGUGACGAAGCGUGAGUGACGGUAAUGGGUAAAGAAGCACCGGCUAACUACGUG